GUGCUUGCUUUGGCAGCACAUGCACUAAAACUGGAAUGAUACAGAGAUUAGCACGGCCUCUGGACAAAGAUGACAUGCGAAUUCAUGAAGCAUUCCAUAUUUUU
rfam:Myotis davidii contig51883, whole genome shotgun sequence.